GUGCUUGCUUUGGCAGCACAUAUACUAAAAUUGGAACGAUACAGAGAAGAUUAGCAUGGCGCCUGUGCAAGGAUGACAUGCAAAUGCGUGACAUGUUCCAUAUUUUU
rnacentral:snRNA from 1 species